CUGGAAGAUCGCCUUGUUCAAACUUUCGGAAUACAGAAAGACGGAGUGUGAGAACCUUCAGAUAUUUGUUUUUGUCAACUCUGACAAACAUUCUGAUCAGCCAUUCAACAUCAAGGCUUCUAAAUUUUCGGUAAAACAAACCAAGUGAUGUCGUGACCAGAUUUGAAAAGAAAUUAACAGCAAUGAGUGGCGGUUCCAGACUGGUAUCCAAUAAAACCAAAGGAGUAUCAGAUCAACCUUAAUUGGCUGCGGUCGACUAAUCAGUCAGGGUGCAGGACUACGAUAUGAUGGAAUGCUGCGGAAACUAUAACUCAUUCAGUGAUGUCAGGAACAGAUUUUACAGCCGCUUCUGGAACCUCAUCCCGGAUGGAUGGUCAAUGUCGCCAGCUGGACUGAAUACAAGAAACAGGAGUAUUACGGCAUUAGGGGUGUUUUGUGUGAAAAUAAGGCAAAAAGAUUAUUUUCCAAUAUUUUCUUGAACACUUUAUUUCUAUACCAAAAAGCACAGUGUGUGAGCUGGAGAUAAAGUUAGUGAUUUGGGUUCAAUGUCGGUUUGAAAUGUAUUUAAUUCAUUUAAUAUUUUACUAAAAUAUUUUUUUUUGCGAUUAUGGAGGUAUAAACGAAAAAGCCAGUGUGUAUACUGUUAAUCCGCGUAGCGAUUCAUUGUAAUUGAGUGACUUUAAUCACAGUUGCUAGGAUUGCCAAUGUCCAGUGAAGUCUCACUGAAACUAACAUGCAUCAUGUUGGUUGGUUGGUUUGUUGUUUAACGCCGCACUCAGCAAUAUUCCAGCUAAAUGACGGCGGUCUGUAAAUAAUC